GUGCCACUAGAGUCUGUUUUGGUAAACACAUUCAGAAUGUCUAACUCAAGAACUUUUCUAGAUCUUUUUGUCUAAAAGUGCAUAAAAUGCCAAACGACGUGUUAAAAGUGCGGUUACCGUCGGCCGUCGGCGUUAGCGAAUAAAAGACGCCACAGACAAAUCGAACCCGUUGGAAGCAACAUAAGUUAAUUGGCUUUGAUAUUAAAUAAUUUCACACCAGAACUUCAACAAUCAAGGGCGUGUUAUUGUUUUCCAUGCGGGGCGCGCACACGACGCCUGGAAGCCAUUCUAUGCUCGCGCAGCAGCGAAACGCCGGCGUUGCACAGCGGUGUCACAGAGCCACCGCGCUGCGAUCACUUCGGCGACACAAUCCAAAUUUGUCGGACAUCUCAUUCUGUGCUGGAAACACUGGGAGGCAGGAAGUUUGAAAAAUCGGUCAUUGCCGCCCGCAAUGUCUCGGUCGUGGGCUGGUCGUGGGUUCGUUAUUCCAGUUGUGCGUCAUUCUAAGCCGUUCUGUACAUUUAUACUGGAUAUUAAUUGGAGUCAUUUAGCUGUGCUGAUGCUGUUUGCCGUGUGUUUUGCAUCAGUGCUUCGUGACAUCGGCUGUAUUGCGUGUUUUCGCCGACGGCUUACUACCACAAUGGCAGGAUCUGCGUUCGCCGCCUUCGUGUCUCGGUGCGUCUUUGUACGUCGCACGUUCGGAUAACACUUUUUCCGACGGCUGGACAUCCUUAUUGUACCUUGGCGCUAGCUGGAUGACGGGACCUCAUCAUGAUCAGUGUAUUGCUUGCCUAUGUCUACAAGAACCGUCACGCGUGGCCUGUAACAGCAAGCUUUUGUGGGCAGCAAGUGCUCUCCUACGAAGGCUGGCCUACUCUGGCAGCGGCGGCAAAUCAUCUUCAAGAUUUAUCCAUAAUCACCUUUGCUGCUAUUUGUCACUCUUGUUGAUUACACUUUCUGCGUCUUUUCUAAUUUAUUAGGUAAUAAAGUAUGAGUAUGUGA